rnacentral:rRNA from 1 species
AUUGAACGCUGGCGGAAUGCUUUACACAUGCAAGUCGAACGGCAGCACGGACUUCGGUCUGGUGGCGAGUGGCGAACGGGUGAGUAAUGUAUCGGAACGUGCCCAGUCGUGGGGGAUAACGUAGUGAAAAUUACGCUAAUACCGCAUACGAUCUAUGGAUGAAAGCGGGGGAUCGCAAGACCUCGCGCGAUUGGAGCGGCCGAUAGCAGAUUAGGUAGUUGGAGGGGUUAAGGCCCACCAAGCCAACGAUCUGUAGCUGGUCUGAGAGGACGAACAGCAACGCUGGAACGGGUACACGGUCCAGAGUCCUACGGGAGGCAGCAGUGGGAAAUUUUGGACAAUGGGCGAAAGCCUGAUCCAGCCAUUCCGCGUGCAGGUUGGAGGCCCUCGGGUUGUAAACUGCUUUUGUACAGAACGAAAAGGUUUCUACUAAUACUAGGAGCUCAUGACGGUACUGUAAGAAUAAGCACCGGCUAACUACGUGCCAGCCGCCGCCGUAA